CCCUAUGGGGUGCAGCAGGCCGUCCUCAUCAUAACGCAACACGGCGUGGCCGCCGGCAUGGAAAUCGCGAGGCAUCCCGGCGGCAAACCGGCCGGCAAACUCCAGUAUCCGUUCGGCACCACCGCCCCGUCUCCUCUUGACCGUUUCCUUCCUCAGCUUGUCCUGGAGUGCCUCGAUUACGACCGACGUGAGGCUUUCUCCCGUCAAAUCACAAAUCUGGGACGCCAGAACAUGAGCUCGGGGAUUCUUCACGUUAAGGCUCACUGGAAGUCCAUCCUUCAACACCAGAGUAGAAGAAAGGCGGGUGAUUCGAGGCGGCGGAAGAUGCUACCGGUGGCAGCCGCCGGGGAUAUGCAUCCAUGCGAAAGAGGAUGGGUGUAUGCUCAGGUGUAGGCGGGAGGGC
rnacentral:rRNA from 1 species